UACGAAGGGUGCAAGCGUUAAUCGGAAUUACUGGGCGUAAAGCGUGCGUAGGCGGUGAGUUAAGUCUGUCGUGAAAUCCCCGGGCUCAACCUGGGAAUGGCGAUGGAUACUGGCUCGCUAGAGUGUGAUAGAGGAUGGUGGAAUUCCCGGUGUAGCGGUGAAAUGCGUAGAGAUCGGGAGGAACACCGGUGGCGAAGGCGGUCUGCUGGGGUAAUGCUGACACUGAUGCGCGACAGCGUGGGGAGCAAACAGG
rnacentral:rRNA from 1 species